GACGUAGGGCGCGAGCGUUGUCCGGAUUUAUUGGGCGUAAAGAGCUCGUAGGCGGCUUGUCGCGUCGUCCGUGAAAACUUGGGGCUCAACCCCAAGCUUGCGGUCGAUACGGGCAGGCUGGAGUUCGGUAGGGGAGACGUGGAAUUCCUGGUGUAGCGGUGAAAUGCGCAGAUAUCAGGAGGAACACCGGUGGCGAAGGCGGGACUCUGGGCCGAUACUGACGCUGAGGAGCGAAAGCGUGGGGAGCGAACAGG
rnacentral:rRNA from 1 species